CAGGUCUUGACAUCCUCUGAUAAUCCUAGAGAUAGGACGUUCCCCUUCGGGGGACAGAGUGACAGGUGGUGCAUGGUUGUCGUCAGCUCGUGUCGUGAGAUGUUGGGUUAAGUCCCGCAACGAGCGCAACCCUUGUCCUUAGUUGCCAGCAUUUAGUUGGGCACUCUAAGGAGACUGCCGGUGACAAACCGGAGGAAGGUGGGGAUGACGUCAAAUCAUCAUGCCCCUUAUGACCUGGGCUACACACGUGCUACAAUGGAUGGUACAAAGGGCUGCGAGACCGCGAGGUUUAGCCAAUCCCAUAAAACCAUUCUCAGUUCGGAUUGUAGGCUGCAACUCGCCUACAUGAAGCCGGAAUCGCUAGUAAUCGUGGAUCAGCAUGCCACGGUGAAUACGUUCCC
rnacentral:rRNA from 1 species